rnacentral:rRNA from 1 species
UUUAACGGCCGCGGUAUAUUGACCGUGCAAAGGUAGCAUAAUCAUUAGUCUUUUAAUAGAGGGCUGGAAUGAAGGGUUUAACGAAGUACUUACUGUCUCAUUUAAUUUGGUGUUAAAAUUUACUUUUUCAGUCAAAAAGCUGAAAUAUUAUUGGAAGACGAGAAGACCCUAUAGAGCUUUAUAUUUAAUUAUUUAAUAAAUUUUUGAUGUAAUUAUUAUUUAUUAUUUAAUAAAAUAUUUUGUUGGGGUGACAAAAAUAUAUAAUUAACUUUUUUAUUUAUAUAACAUUGAUAUAUGAGAAAUAGAUCCAGUUUUACUGAUUAUUAGAAUAAGUUACCUUAGGGAUAACAGCGUAAUCUUCCUUUAGAGUUCAUAUUCACAGGGAGGCUUGCGACCUCGAUGUUGGAUUAAGAUUAUAAUUAGGUGUAGCCGCUUAAAAAAUAGGUCUGUUCGACCUUUAAAUUCUUACAUGAUCUGA